AAAUCAAAUCAAAAAAACUAAUUUAUUAAAAGAAAUAUAUAUAAUAUAUUCUAGAUUUUAUAUUUACAUAAUUUAUUAUAUAUAUAAAUUUAUAUUUAGUAUGUUUAUUUAAGAUAAAUAUGAUUUUUAAUGUUUAAUUUUAAUUAUAUAUGAAAAUAUAAAUUAGAUAAAUUAUUUAUAUUAAUAAAAUUUAUGCCAGCAAUUGCGGUUAUAUAAAUAAUAUAAAAAUAUAUUAAUAAUAUUAAAUUAUAAAAAUUAUAAUUUAAAUUUAUAAUUUUAGAUAAAAUUUUUUUAUAAAAAAAUUAUAUAUUAAUAAAUUAUGAAAUUAAUUAAUAAACUAGGAUUAGAUACCCUAUUAUUUUAAAAUAAAAUAAUUAAAUAAGAAUUAAUUUAUAAAUAUUAUUGUAAAUUAAAUUUAAAGAAUAUGACAGUAUUUAAAUCAAUUUAGAGGAACUUGUAUUUUAAUUGAUAAUACACAAUUAAUUAUACUAAAAUUUAUUUAAUUUAUAUAUCAUUAUUAAAAAAAAUAAUUUUAUUGAAAAAUUUUAUUAAAUUUUAAAUAAAUUAAAAUUUAUAUAUUAAAUCAAGAUAUAAUUAAUAUUUUAGUCUUUAUGAGUUAUAAAAAAAUUAUUUUUGGAUUAAUAUAAGAAUAAUAUUAUGAAUUUAGAUUUAAAAGUAAUAUAAUUAAUUUUAAUUUUAUGAUUAAAGUUUUUAAAUAGGUACAUAUUGCCCGUCAUUUUCAAAAUUCUGAAAGAAGUCGUAACAUAGUUAAAAUAUUGGAAAAUGUUUUUAGAAA
rnacentral:ncRNA from 1 species